UCAGUUCUUCCCUUUCUCUACUUCCUCGGCCGCCUCUUCUCAUGAUUUUGUGCUAGUGAUGUGAUGUUUUCGAGCUUCUCUUCUUUCGUUUGAUUCAAUUUCGUUUUUCUUUCACGUUCAUUCUGGUUGCUAAAAAAAUCCUUGAGAAGGAGUAGUAUUUAUCUUGAUCUGUAAUAUUGUGAGAUGCAUUAUUCUCGUCAUUCAUCUACUGGGUCUGCUGAUACACUAAUAAAUAAAUAAACAGUGGAUUUCUGUUUCAAAAUUGAAGCAAUUUAUUGUACUUUUCACCAUCAAUCGCUUAUUGCUGUUUGGAUCUCUCUGUGUUAUAGGCUUUUGAAGCCACUUGAUCAGUCAACUAUGAAGCAACUUGAUUUGUGUCAACCAGACUUAAAGUCAGGUGUCUACCUUCAUUGUUAGUCUGAUGUCCAUCGUUGCCCAGUGAUAUGCAUUUCUGCAUUUCUUGUUAUUUGAGCUACAUCUGGGCUUCACAUCACAAAUCCCCCUUUCCUGGGGCCAACAAAGUUGUGUUAAUAUUAUGUUGUGCAUUACAAUAAGAUAGUGAUAUAUUUGUUCUGUGAUGUUGAUACUUGAAGUUAAGCAUUGUAAGUUUGACUUUGUUUUCACAUUCUACUGAUUUGAACUAUCUGGUUUUUGGCCCUUUUGAAGCCAUUUUAUCAGUCCA